rnacentral:misc_RNA from 1 species
CUGUUUUCUCGAUCACAAACUUUGCCAUGUCAAAGGAUCCCAAAUCACUGAACAUCUCAAUUAACGAGUAAACUCCAGUACCAUAACACGUCCCCCCAACUUCACACAAUAUAUCAAUAACUCUCUGUGUUGAUUUCCUUAGCAAAGUCUCAGUUGCACCAAUAGAAGGUAAGAACCCAAAUGCCUUAUUGGUUAGGGAUAAACUCUUCAGGCUGAA